AGUGGCGCACGGGUGAGUAAUGUAUAGGUAAUAUGCCUCUUACUAAGGGAUAACAAUUGGAAACGAUUGCUAAUACCUUAUAUUCCUUUUUAUCAAAAGAUAAAAAGGGAAAGAUUUAUUGGUAAGAGAUUAGCCUGUAUUGUAUCAGUUAGUUGGUGGGGUAAUGGCCUACCAAGACGAUGACGCAUAACUGGUUUGAGAGGAUGAUCAGUCACACUGGAACUGAGACACGGUCCAGACUCCUACGGGAGGCAGCAGUGGGGAAUAUUGCACAAUGGACGAAAGUCUGAUGCAGCAACGCCGCGUGGAGGAUGACACAUUUCGGUGCGUAAACUCCUUUUAUAUAAGAAGAUAAUGACGGUAUUAUAUGAAUAAGCACCGGCUAACUCCGUGCCAGCAGCCGCGGUAAUACGGAGGGUGCAAGCGUUACUCGGAAUCACUGGGCGUAAAGAGCGUGUAGGCGGAUUGAUAAGUUUGAAGUGAAAUCCUAUAGCUUAACUAUAGAACUGCUUUGAAAACUGUUAAUCUAGAAUGUGGGAGAGGUAGAUGGAAUUUCUGGUGUAGGGGUAAAAUCCGUAGAGAUCAGAAGGAAUACCGAUUGCGAAGGCGAUCUACUGGAACAAUAUUGACGCUGAGACGCGAAAGCGUGGGGAGCAAACAGGAUUAGAUACCCUGGUAGUCCACGCCCUAAACGAUGUACACUAGUUGUUGUGAGGCUCGACCUUGCAGUAAUGCAGUUAACACAUUAAGUGUACCGCCUGGGGAGUACGGUCGCAAGAUUAAAACUCAAAGGAAUAGACGGGGACCCGCACAAGCGGUGGAGCAUGUGGUUUAAUUCGACGAUACACGAAGAACCUUACCUGGACUUGACAUAGUAAGAAUGAUUUAGAGAUAGAUUAGUGUCUGCUUGCAGAAACUUGCAUACAGGUGCUGCACGGCUGUC
rnacentral:rRNA from 2 species